rnacentral:rRNA from 1 species
GAUAAACGCUGGCGGCGUGCAUGAGACAUGCAAGUCGAACGAAGGAUCGGGCUUUCUCGAUCCUUAGUGGCGGACGGCUGGGUAACGCGUAGGUGACCUACCCCGAAGUGGGGAAUAACUGCCCGAAAGGGUGGCUAAUACCGCCUGUGGACGCACGCUCAUUCGUGCGAGUAAAGCGGCAAGGCGCUUCGGGAGGGGCCUGCGUCCGGUUAGCUCGUUGGUUGGGUGAUGGCUUACCAAAGCGAGGAUCGGUAGGUGGGCGGAGAGGACGAUCACCCAGACUGGGACUGAGACACAGACCCGACUCCUACGGGAGGCUGCAGACGGUAAUUUUACUCAAGGGGGGAAGCCCUGAAGCAGCAGCGCCGCGUGAGGGAUGAAGGCCUUCGGGUUGUAAACCUCUUUUGUCAGAGACGAUGAUGACGGUACCUGGCGAAUAAGCCACGGCUAACUACGUG